CAGCAGCCACGGGAAUACGAGGGGAGCUAGCGUUAUUCGGAAUUACUGGGCGUAAAGCGCACGUAGGCGGCUUUGUAAGUUAGGGGUGAAAGCCCAGAGCUCAACUCUGGAAUUGCCUUUAAGACUGCAUCGCUUGAAUCCAGGAGAGGUGAGUGGAAUUCCGAGUGUAGAGGUGAAAUUCGUAGAUAUUCGGAAGAACACCAGUGGCGAAGGCGGCUCACUGGACUGGUAUUGACGCUGGGGUGCGAAAGCGUGGGGAGCAAACAGGAUUAGAUACCCCCGUAGUCCCUGUCUCUUAUAU
rnacentral:rRNA from 1 species